GUUUUUAUUCAUGUUCAGAAGAAAAAUACAUACAUUUCGCACCAACAUACUUUGAAAUCCAUUUCUCUCCCUUUGACUAUAUGGGAUUAUCAAAAAAGUAUUUUUCAAGACAUUAAAAAUAAGUAAAGGAAAAGGAAAUAUUUUUAGAACAUUCAAAAUCCAAUGAAGUUCAGUGUUUCUUUAGUUGAGGGCAGAGGUGGAGGAGAAUUUCGGAAGGUAGUGAACCCAAAGGUGGAUUCUUACAUAAUUCUACUAUUCUGUUCUCUAACCCAUCUGUUUACUACCCUAACCAUAGUUACCAAGUAGAGUUUUAUUGUUAGUAUAGGUAGCUAUCAAAGUGUUGACAUUCAAAGGAGAUUACAAAUGAUUAUUUUUCUAUCAAAUGGACCGACCAUGUCCACAGUAUUCCUUGAACUACCUUCCAGUUUUCCUGGGCUGCAUCUACCAUUUAUGCCUAGUUUAACUUUUUUCUGACUUCGCCAAUUGCUGCUAGGAAUGUGCUGGUCAUUCAGCAGCACAACCAGAUCACAGGGGAAGAUCUUGAAAUAUCUGGACGAACUGAUCGGUCUGAAUACACUGCCCUGAAUACACUCAAUUCAAAGAAGUGCCAGGGAACUACAUCUUCUUGCUGAAGCCUUGAAUUUUUGUCAGAUUUUCUUUACUGUGGACAGUAAAGCUGGAAAGAAGAUCUAAAUAACCCAGCUGGAAAUGCAGAUAGAUGAAAGUGCAAGAGUUGGUUUGUGGUCAUCUGGAGUCCACGUCUCCAAGGCUGCUGGACCUUCAAAUUUUGCAACUUGUUAGAUCUUCUGGAUGAUAGCACAACUGUUAGAAGACCUGGAAGAAUACAGUGUUGCUGGGACUGAGUGGUGUUCAAUGAGACCAUCUACCAGCUGGGGAAAGAAUUAAUUACAACAGGACCAAAGGGAUUCAUUCCUCAUUUUAACUGAUACUACAAUGAAGAUGGGUUCUUGAACUUUUGGAAGCCUGGAUAAGCCACCUAAUCUGCAAGAUAAAAAAACAAAAACUAAUACAUACUGGAGAAAAUAAUGCUUAGUACUUGAAGAUUGAAUGUUGAAUACCUAAUUGAAUAUUCCUAUUGACGUUUUUUCUUUUUUCCUAAACAUACUUCAGAAACAUCUUAGGACAGUUGACUGGAAAAAUGUUGAACCCUUGGUGGAAUAGCAUACCAUUGACCCAUCUGAAGAGUUAAAGCUGUAUUUUUGACUGCUCUAUUCUACCAGAAUACUGUUAGGCUAGCCUUUUACCGGUUUCUAAACAAUUGUAAUCAUUUAUUGACUCAGCAGUUCCUCAGACAACAGGCUAAAAGAUGUACAGAUGUAUUUCAAUUUGAGUUUCCCUGAUAUUAAAGGCAUAAGAGUUUCUUAGU